rnacentral:rRNA from 1 species
UUGAACGCUGGCGGCAGGCCUAACACAUGCAAGUCGAGCGGUAGCACAGAGAGCUUGCUCUCGGGUGACGAGCGGCGGACGGGUGAGUAAUGUCUGGGAAACUGCCUGAUGGAGGGGGAUAACUACUGGAAACGGUAGCUAAUACCGCAUAACGUCGCAAGACCAAAGUGGGGGACCUUCGGGCCUCAUGCCAUCAGAUGUGCCCAGAUGGGAUUAGCUAGUAGGUGGGGUAACGGCUCACCUAGGCGACGAUCCCUAGCUGGUCUGAGAGGAUGACCAGCCACACUGGAACUGAGACACGGUCCAGACUCCUACGGGAGGCAGCAGUGGGGAAUAUUGCACAAUGGGCGCAAGCCUGAUGCAGCCAUGCCGCGUGUGUGAAGAAGGCCUUCGGGUUGUAAAGCACUUUCAGCGGGGAGGAAGGCGAUAAGGUUAAUAACCUUGUCGAUUGACGUUACCCGCAGAAGAAGCACCGGCUAACUCCGUGCCAGCAGCCGCGGUAAUACGGAGGGUGCAAGCGUUAAUCGGAAUUACUGGGCGUAAAGCGCACGCAGGCGGUCUGUCAAGUCGGAUGUGAAAUCCCCGGGCUCAACCUGGGAACUGCAUUCGAAACUGGCAGGCUAGAGUCUUGUAGAGGGGGGUAGAAUUCCAGGUGUAGCGGUGAAAUGCGUAGAGAUCUGGAGGAAUACCGGUGGCGAAGGCGGCCCCCUGGACAAAGACUGACGCUCAGGUGCGAAAGCGUGGGGAGCAAACAGGAUUAGAUACCCUGGUAGUCCACGCCGUAAACGAUGUCGAUUUGGAGGUUGUGCCCUUGAGGCGUGGCUUCCGGAGCUAACGCGUUAAAUCGACCGCCUGGGGAGUACGGCCGCAGGGUUAAAACUCAAAUGAAUUGACGGGGGCCCGCACAAGCGGUGGAGCAUGUGGUUUAAUUCGAUGCAACGCGAAGAACCUUACCUGGUCUUGACAUCCACAGAACUUUCCAGAGAUGGAUUGGUGCCUUCGGGAACUGUGAGACAGGUGCUGCAUGGCUGUCGUCAGCUCGUGUUGUGAAAUGUUGGGUUAAGUCCCGCAACGAGCGCAACCCUUAUCCUUUGUUGCCAGCGGUUAGGCCGGGAACUCAAAGGAGACUGCCAGUGAUAAACUGGAGGAAGGUGGGGAUGACGUCAAGUCAUCAUGGCCCUUACGACCAGGGCUACACACGUGCUACAAUGGCAUAUACAAAGAGAAGCGACCUCGCGAGAGCAAGCGGACCUCAUAAAGUAUGUCGUAGUCCGGAUUGGAGUCUGCAACUCGACUCCAUGAAGUCGGAAUCGCUAGUAAUCGUAGAUCAGAAUGCUACGGUGAAUACGUUCCCGGGCCUUGUACACACCGCCCGUCACACCAUGGGAGUGGGUUGCAAAAGAAGUAGGUAGCUUAACCUUCGGGAGGGCGCUUACCACUUUGUGAUUCAUGACUGGGGUG